rnacentral:rRNA from 1 species
ACAUCCAGAGAAUUUAGCAGAGAUGCUUUAGUGCCUUCGGGAACUCUGAGACAGGUGCUGCAUGGCUGUCGUCAGCUCGUGUUGUGAAAUGUUGGGUUAAGUCCCGNAACGAGCGCAACCCUUAUCCUUUGUUGCCAGCACGUAAUGGUGGGAACUCAAAGGAGACGUGCCGGUGAUAAACCGGAGGAAGGUGGGGAUGACGUCAAGUCAUCAUGGCCCUUACGAGUAGGGCUACACACGUGCUACAAUGGCGCAUACAAAGAGAAGCGACCUCGCGAGAGCAAGCGGACCUCAUAAAGUGCGUCGUAGUCCGGAUUGGAGUCUGCAACUCGACUCCAUGAAGUCGGAAUCGCUAGUAAUCGUAAAUCAGAAUGUUACGGUGAAUACGUUCCCGGGCCUUGUACACACCGCCCGUCACACCAUGGGAGUGGGUUGCAAAAGAAGUAGAUAGCUUAACCUUCGGGAGGGCGUUUACCACUUUGUGAUUCAUGACUGGGGUGAAGUCGUAACAAGGUAAGCGUAGUGCU